AGCGGGUGAAAAGCCCGCUCGCCGGAAGACCAAGGGUUCCUGUCCAACGUUAAUCGGGGCAGGGUGAGUCGACCCCUAAGGCGAGGCCGAAAGGCGUAGUCGAUGGGAAACGGGUUAAUAUUCCCGUACUUGGUGUUACUGCGAAGGGGGGACGGAGAAGGCUAUGUUGGCCGGGCGACGGUUGUCCCGGUUUAAGCGUGUAGGUGUGUGUUCCAGGUAAAUCCGGUUCACUUUAACACUGAGGCGUGACGACGAGGCACUACGGUGCUGAAGCAACAAAUGCCCUGCUUCCAGGAAAAGCCUCUAAGCAUCAGGUAACAUCAAAUCGUACCCCAAACCGACACAGGUGGUCAGGUAGAGAAUACCAAGGCGCUUGAGAGAACUCGGGUGAAGGAACUAGGCAAAAUGGUGCCGUAACUUCGGGAGAAGGCACGCUGACACGUAGGUGAAGUGAUUUACUCAUGGAGCUGAAGUCAGUCGAAGAUACCAGCUGGCUGCAACUGUUUAUUAAAAACACAGCACUGUGCAAACACGAAAGUGGACGUAUACGGUGUGACGCCUGCCCGGUGCCGGAAGGUUAAUUGAUGGGGUCAGCGCAAGCGAAGCUCCUGAUCGAAGCCCCGGUAAACGGCGGCCGUAACUAUAACGGUCCUAAGGUAGCGAAAUUCCUUGUCGGGUAAGUUCCGACCUGCACGAAUGGCGUAAUGAUGGCCAGGCUGUCUCCACCCGAGACUCAGUGAAAUUGAACUCGCUGUGAAGAUGCAGUGUACCCGCGGCAAGACGGAAAGACCCCGUGAACCUUUACUAUAGCUUGACACUGAACAUUGAGCCUUGAUGUGUAGGAUAGGUGGGAGGCUUUGAAGUGUGGACGCCAGUCUGCAUGGAGCCGACCUUGAAAUACCACCCUUUAAUGUUUGAUGUUCUAACGUGGACCCGUUACCCGGGUUGCGGACAGUGUCUGGUGGGUAGUUUGACUGGGGCGGUCUCCUCCUAAAGAGUAACGGAGGAGCACGAAGGUUGGCUAAUCCUGGUCGGACAUCAGGAGGUUAGUGCAAUGGCAUAAGCCAGCUUGACUGCGAGCGUGACGGCGCGAGCAGGUGCGAAAGCAGGUCAUAGUGAUCCGGUGGUUCUGAAUGGAAGGGCCAUCGCUCAACGGAUAAAAGGUACUCCGGGGAUAACAGGCUGAUACCGCCCAAGAGUUCAUAUCGACGGCGGUGUUUGGCACCUCGAUGUCGGCUCAUCACAUCCUGGGGCUGAAGUAGGUCCCAAGGGUAUGGCUGUUCGCCAUUUAAAGUGGUACGCGAGCUGGGUUUAGAACGUCGUGAGACAGUUCGGUCCCUAUCUGCCGUGGGCGCUGGAGAACUGAGGGGGGCUGCUCCUAGUACGAGAGGACCGGAGUGGACGCAUCACUGGUGUUCGGGUUGUCAUGCCAAUGGCACUGCCCGGUAGCUAAAUGCGGAAGAGAUAAGUGCUGAAAGCAUCUAAGCACGAAACUUGCCCCGAGAUGAGUUCUCCCUGAGACUUA
rnacentral:rRNA from 1 species